AUUGAACGCUGGCGGCAUGCUUUACACAUGCAAGUCGAACGGCAGCGCGGGCUUCGGCCUGGCGGCGAGUGGCGAACGGGUGAGUAAUACAUCGGAACGUGCCCAGUAGUGGGGGAUAGCUCGGCGAAAGCCGGAUUAAUACCGCAUACGACCUGAGGGUGAAAGCGGGGGAUCUUCGGACCUCGCGCUAUUGGAGCGGCCGAUGGCAGAUUAGCUAGUUGGUGGGGUAAAGGCCUACCAAGGCGACGAUCUGUAGCUGGUCUGAGAGGACGACCAGCCACACUGGGACUGAGACACGGCCCAGACUCCUACGGGAGGCAGCAGUGGGGAAUUUUGGACAAUGGGCGAAAGCCUGAUCCAGCAAUGCCGCGUGUGUGAUGAAGGCCUUCGGGUUGUAAAGCACUUUUGGCGGGAACGAAAAGGACUGUGCCAAUACCACGUUUCGAUGACGGUACCCGCAGAAUAAGCACCGGCUAACUACGUG
rnacentral:rRNA from 1 species